UGAAGGGAGAUUUUUCUUCGGUCUCUUCCUCUUGCGCCUUUUGUUCAUCGCCUCGACCUCUGAUGAGGACGGAACUUUCUCGUCCAGUACCACCAUGGCAGUGAUUUGCAAGUGAUGAUUCUCACUUACCCCGGUUUAGGAGUGGCGGUUGGUCGGAAAGAUGGGGUUGCGGCGGGAGGGAACGGCGUACCGGGUGCAGUAGCUAGUAAAGGGAGG
rnacentral:misc_RNA from 1 species